rnacentral:rRNA from 1 species
UGGGGAAUCAUGGUCAAUGGGCGAAAGCCUGAACCUGCGACGCCGCGUGAGUGAUGAAGGUCGUAAGAUCGUAAAACUCUUUUCAGGGAUCUUAAAGCACAACCGUCAACAACGGCUGUGUGUGACUCUCCCUGGAAGAAGCCCCAGCCAACUACGUGCCAGCAGCUGCGGUAAUACGUAGGUGGCGAGCGUUGUCCGGAAUUAUUGGGCGUAAAGAGCAUGUAGGCGGCUUUUUAAGUCGGUCGUGAAAAUGCGGGGCUUAACCCCGUAUUGCGGUCGAAACUGGAGGGCUUGAGUGCAGGAGAGGAAAGGGGAAUUCCCAGUGUAGCGGUGAAAUGCGUAGAUAUUGGGAGGAACACCAGUGGCGAAGGCGCCUUUCUGGACUGUGUCUGACGCUGAGAUGCGAAAGCCAGGGUAGCAAACA